rnacentral:rRNA from 1 species
AUUGAACGCUGGCGGCAGGCUUAACACAUGCAAGUCGAGCGGAGAGAGGUAGCUUGCUACUGAUCUUAGCGGCGGACGGGUGCGUAAUGCUUAGGAAUCUGCCUAUUAGUGGGGGACAACAUUUCGAAAGGAAUGCUAAUACCGCAUACGUCCUCCGGGAGAAAGCAGGGGAUCUGCGGACCUUGCGCUAAUAGAUGAGCCUAAGUCGGCUUAGCAAGUUGGUGGGGUAAAGGCCUACCAAGGCGACGAUCUGCAGCGGGUCUGAGAGGAUGAUCCGCCACGCUGGGACUGAGACACGGACCAGACUCCUACGGGAGGCAGCAGUGGGGAAUAUUGGACAAUGGGCGGAAGCCUGAUCCAGCCAUGCCGCGUGUGUGAAGAAGGCCUUAUGGUUGUAAAGCACUUUAAGCGAGGAGGAGGCUACUUUAGUUAAUACCUAGAGAUAAUGGACGUUACUCGCAGAAUAAGCACCGGCUAACUCUGUGCCAGCAGCCGCCGUAA